AGCGUUUAAAGAUAGAUCUGCAAUGCCCGCAAUCAAAUUAUCCAGUGGUUCAUCUUCCAGGUCUUUCAAUGCUGUUGAAUCAUCAAAAGGCAAUGGCAUUGAUGGAAAGGAAGUUGUUGUCUCUGCAGCAACCUUGUUCAACUCGUUAAUAAGAUCAUCUUCCUCAUCCGGAAUGUCCAAAUCCCAUACCCUGAAGAUAUCCACUGUUGAUGAAUUCAUCUCUUCUGCAGAUAAGCUUGAUUUAACUCCUGAAUCAACAGCACUAUCCUUUCUUUCAUUCUCCUUGUAGGUGGGUCGGAAAGGAUCUCCCCGAAACAUUUUAGUGGAAUCUUCCUGAAGAAAUUGCAGCUGAGUACCAGUCCUCUUUUUGAUAGGAAUGUUGUUGGUGUUUAUUCCAUUGUCUCCAUCCACUGGAAUGUCCAAAUCCCAUACCCUGAAGAUAUCCGCUGUUGAUGAAUUCAUCUCUUCUGCAGAUAAGCUUGAUUUAACUCCUGAAUCAACAGCACUAUCCUUUCUUUCAUUCUCCUUGUAGGUGGGUCGGAAAGGAUCUCCCCAAAACAUUUCAGUGGAAUCUUCCUGAAGAAAUUGCUGCUGGGUACCAGUCCUCUUUUUGAUAGGAAUGUUGUUGGUGUUCAUUCCAUUUUCUCCAUCCACUGGAAUGACAAGAAGAUCUUCAUCAG
rnacentral:lncRNA from 1 species